rnacentral:misc_RNA from 1 species
UCCGAGUUGACCCCGGCAGUCUCUCACGAGUCCCCGGCAUAACCCGCUGGCAACAUGGAACGAGGGUUGCGCUCGUUGCGGGACUUAACCCAACAUCUCACGACACGAGCUGACGACAGCCAUGCAGCACCUGUGUUCCGAUUCCCUUUCGGGCACACCCAUAUCUCUACGGGCUCUCGGACAUGUCAAGGGUAGGUAAGGUUUUUCGCGUUGCAUCGAAUUAAUCCACAUAAUCCACCGCUUGUGCGGGUCCCCGUCAAUUCCUUUGAGUUUUAACCUUGCGGCCGUACUCCCCAGGCGGGGCGCUUAAUGCGUUAGCUUCGGCACGGGAGGAGUCGACACCUCCCACACCUAGCGCCCAACGUUUACAGCGUGGACUAC